AUUUUUAUCAUUCUUUUCCAAAAUUCAACAAUCUCAAAUGGCUUAUACUGAUUGUUAAUGGCGCUACCGAUUAUGGCAGUCUACUUAAAGUUACUCCACUUCUGCAGGCCUCUCCGUACCUGCAAAUGUUCGAGAUCAAGAUUACGUGGAGUAAUACACAGAUCUAUAUUCGUUCUGCAUCUAUUAUUUCUUAUGGACCUAUUCGGAAGCUAAGUUGGCAAAAUCCAUAUCCACAUCUCAAAGUGGUCAGAUAUGAAGGUUAUCUCAGGCUCAGCUGAUAAUGAGUUUAUAACUUACCUUGUUGAAAAAUCUUUAGCACUUGAGAAAUUCAUCAUUACUCCUUGCGAUCAUUCAUCAUAUUUCAAACCACAAAUACAGGGUUUAGGACAAACCUACUGGGUUCGGCCGAACCCAUAAGUUGCCUUCAAGCUCCACCCCUGAAUAUAAUGCUCCCUCCAUCUCAAAUUACGGAUGAACUCCAGAGGCUGCUGGAUGGCUGGUCUUUAACAAAAUAUGAGCUAAGCAGCUUCAGGUGUUUUCAACGAUUCCUGGAAGGUAACAUCCAACUUGGCCCCAACAUAUGCAGGGAUUUGUCAUUACGCAAUGGUAUAAGAUACAUGCAGUGUUCUUUUAGUAGACAACCA